UGAAAUGUCCUCUGAUUUUGAGUAGCCACUGAACCUGUCAGAUCCUUAAAUUGUAAUUAGCCAAUCAGUGAUGAGUAUUUAGACUAGUUCUAUGAUUGGCAAAGAGAAGCGGGUAAAGCAACCGCCACGUGUGGACUGUUGCUAAGUAGCUAACGCUAGCGCUCGAGCUAGCUGGGAGGAGAGACCAGACUGCAGGAAACCUUUAUGCCACCGAGUUUCUGAUGUUGUGUGGGAUGUUGCAACAGGUUGCUGCUGCAGGACUCCUGCUGGACUGAGGGUUUGAACAGACUGAUGCUAACAGUGUGCUGAGUUCAUGGAACAAGUUGGUCUCCUCUCUGCCUCUUGAGGUGCUGAAUCCUAGCCUGAAGCUACAAAGCUACACAGUCCAUUCAUCAAAAGCAUGACCCUCUCCGGUGAGGGACAGGAUGCUAUAUGGACUAAUGAACUCAGUGCACGAUACGAACGCAUGUGUGUCAUAUCUCUGUACAUAAGGGAGGGGGAUCUUUAUUUGUUACAGGCCAUCACAACACGUUAAAACACACUUGCAUCAUAUUUCAAUAUAAAGAGACACCUCUGUCUGGGGUGCUUUGUCCUUGUGUUGGAUGUGGAAUUAUUCCACUAAAAACAACAUUGAAAGGCUGGAUGCCAUUGUGAUGUAUUGGGUGUGAUGCUUAUUGGUUUCAACAGCCGAUAUACAUAAAACAGAUGGAGGUUAAUGUUUUAGUGUGAAAAAGUACCUGCAGGGGCAGACACUUUGUCAUUCAAUCUAUCUCCAACUUUUUUCCUGCAAGGCCUUUCAGCCUGGUAAAUAUAUUGCCAUAAAGCUAAUAUGUAAUGAACAGCACUGUGGUAGCAUUACCCUCUGGAGUUUUUUAUUGUCAUACAUCAUAUGUAAAUUGGGGAUAAAGGGAUUUUCAUUUUUUUUUUGUGCCAGCAUGAAUGUGCGGUGUACUAAACACAUGCUAGUGGUAUGAAAUCCCUGCCCCCACCCCCCCACCUCACCACCAGCGUGGAGCCCCCACCCCCAUCAGGCCAAGGGUACACCUUGAUGAGUGAAGAGGGAGGCUAAUUCAGUCCUCAGGCUUAAUUAAUCCUAUGUCUUAUUUGAUGAAUGGCUCCCAAAUUGUGCUGUAAUAGUGGUAUUUUUUCGCGGAGGGGGCUGCGGCGCGGAGUGUUGACACGGAGCUAGGAGAAAGUCAAAGUCGGGACUUCCGAGAGGCUGGACUUGGGGCUUUGUUUGCAAAGUUGUAGUCCUCUGUGGACAGUUUAAGCCCUGUCCUCUGACGUCAGGCCGGCCAGAGAGAGUGAUGGUGCGCUGCAGGGAACAUGUGUUUAUGGAUUUCUCCUGGCUAAGAUCACUAUAGGAGUCCGCCGCCUUUUGUCUCACGCUGGGUUUGUCAGUUUUUGACAAACAUGAUUUGUUGUCUGUAAAUACACACAGUGGCUUGCAACGUUCUUUCUCUUCUACAUGAAUAUCUGCCUGAGGGGUGGCAACACAUUACAAUGAUAAAUCCCAUGUUUGACUUUCUAAUGAGAGGUGCCUAAACUAUUGAAAACCAACACUUUUUCUUUAUAAUGAAUCGAAAUGUGACCCCAAAUUGUUCAGUUGUUUGUCCAAAGGUUGUAGUUGAAUGUAGAGGCACCUCAGAUAUGCCAUAUGUCUGACUUGAAAGUAGAAUUUUAUUGAACAAUUUUACAAUUACAGGCAGACUCCCAGCACAACCGUAAUGUAAUAUCAUUAUUGUGAUAUUAUUUCCGUUCUGUAAAUGUGCCUUCAGACCAUAUGAUAUGAGUCGGCCCACAGAUUCAAGACUCCUGCUUUUGCCCCGUUUAAUAUGAAUCCUUUAGUCACAAAGGGUUCUGCUUUAAGUAUGCAUUGUCCUAACAGAGGUAGCACUUAAAACUAACGAUGUCAUAAAUUUUUCUGGCUAAUGUGGCAGGCGUAAAGGGAGCUUUGGCGGGUGGGGCGAGGGUCUGGUGAUUUGAGAGGAAGGAUGAUGCGUUUCGGUGGCCUAGCCUAAGCAAUGAACUUGAUUAAACUAAUCUCAUCUCUAUCAAAGCAUCUCUCUGAUCCCCCUUGUCCCAUUAUUCAUGGCAAUGGGAUAAUUACACUGAGAUGCAUGGGGCCAGACAGACAGCACUGUGACACGGGCCCCCUCAGACCCUGGGCUAUGCCUCCACUACUGUGGCCUGUUCAUUUUAAACACAGAUUAAUUAUGGUCAAUGGGAUGGUUCACAUCUGUCAGUCUUAGUGAGAAAAAUGGAAAUGAUCGGCCCCUCAAAGAUGAUAAAGGAUGUAUAUUAAGUCAUAUGCUGGUUGGAGGUUCAGCGGGGAUGAAUACAAUCAGCAUUUUGAUUUCGACAUCAGCACUAUGAGUGUCAGAAUAAUGUGGAAAAACUGCAGCAGUAGACGUGAUAAUGUCAAUGUUUACAACCAUUGUACCAGACAACUCACAACCCUGUCUCGUAAAACCAAAGUCUGCAGAGAUAAUGACAACUGACUCUAAUAUUUUCUGCCUAUCUACACCUGAGCAUACUCUCUGUGCCUGUGUGUGUAAUAUGUUCAGUGCUUUUGUUAUGUCAGCAAAUUGCAAAUUUGUAUAUUUGGUCAAAUAAAAAUAGUAAUCAGA